AGGAUGAAGGAGAAGGGGUUGAGGGGUACUUGCCCCUGCCCCAGGAAAGCGGGACUUGCCGCUGAGGGUGAAGGAGAAGGGGUUGAGGGGUACUUGCCCCUGCCCCAGGAAAGCGGGACUUGCCGCUGAGGGUGAAGGAGAAGGGGUUGAGGGGUACUUGCCCCUGCCCCAGGAAAGCGGGACUUGCCACUGAGGGUGAAGGAGAAGGGGUUGAGGGGUACUUGCCCCUGCCCCAGGAAAGCAGGACUUGCCGCUGAGGGUGAAGGAGAAGGGGUUGAGGGAUAGUGAGGAAGGUUGGAGAAGAGAGUAAA
rnacentral:lncRNA from 1 species